rnacentral:rRNA from 1 species
UGGGGAAUAUUGCACAAUGGGCGAAAGCCUGAUGCAGCAACGCCGCGUGAGGGACGACGGCCUUCGGGUUGUAAACCUCUUUUAGCAAGGAAGAAGCGAAAGUGACGGUACUUGCAGAAAAAGCGACCGGCUAACUACGUGCCAGCAGCCGCGGUAAUACGUAGGGCGCAAGCGUUAUCCGGAAUUAUUGGGGCGUAAAGAGCUCGUAGGCGGUUUUGCGCGUCUGCUGUGAAAAACCCGAGGCUCAACCUCGGGCCUGCAGUGGGUACGGGCAGACUAGAGUGCGGUAGGGGAGAUUGGAACUCCUGGUGUAGCGGUGGAAUGCGCAGAUAUCAGGAAGAACACCGAUGGCGAAGGCAGAUCUCUGGGCCGUAACUGACGCUGAGGAGCGAAAGGGUGGGGAGCAAACAGGCUUAGAUACCCUGGUAGUCCACCCCGUAACGUUGGGAACUAGUUGUGGGGUCCAUUCCACGGAUUCCGUGGACGCAGCUAACGCAUUAAGUUCCCCGCCUGGGGAGUACGGCCGCAAGGCUAAACUUGAAAUGAAUUGACGGGGUCAUAGCUGUUUCCU